GCGAGGAUGGUGGAACUGGCAGACACGCAAGGUUGAGGGCCUUGUGGACGUUAUAGUCCUUGGGGGUUCGACUCCCCCUCCUCGCACCA
rnacentral:tRNA from 1 species